rnacentral:lncRNA from 1 species
AUUUGACGGGCUAGGUUCGAUAGUUCCACUUAGUGUUUUAGCAAUUGGGAAAAACUGUAAUUCUUAAUUUAUUUUCAUCUCUGGUUUCUUCAAUCCAGGAACAUCCACCGCUAAAACCUCGGCCUACAUUUUAUCCGUCCACUCAGCCUCUGUUAACCUCAACUCUACUUCAGCAAAAAAUCCCACCCGUGACUUCUACCCCUCAGUCGCCUUACCCGAAAGACAGCCCAGGUUUGGUAUGUCAUCUGGACUUCAGAAAAGUGUCAACAGAAUCCCUGGAUUCCCUAAGCCAGUCGUCCGCUAAGUCAGCGGAAAUCAGCAAUAGAAGCUUCAAGGAGAGCCCCAAUGUUCCAGUGAUGGUCCCCCUCGAAAGAGAGCAAACACCCCUGACAGCUCAGGACCUGGAUGUUUCACAGCCUUUUAUUUCAGGGCCAAGUCGCAAGCGCCAUAGCUCAACUUCCAGUAAUUCUGAUGAAGAAAAGAAGAAUAGAUAUGGGAAGGAAAAAAAGAAGGAAAGCCAGUUUCGAAUGAAGCGCUCUCCUCGAAUCAAACCAAGGAAGCUCUUCAAGUCAUGUAACUCCUUCCAUGUUCUUUGA